rnacentral:rRNA from 1 species
AUUGAACGCUGGCGGCAGGCCUAACACAUGCAAGUCGAGCGAGCGGCGGACGGGUGAGUAAUGUCUGGGAAACUGCCUGAUGGAGGGGGAUAACUACUGGAAACGGUAGCUAAUACCGCAUACCAUCAGAUGUGUCCAGCUGGGAUUAGCUAGUAGGUGGGGUAAUGGCUCACCUAGGCGACGAUCCCUAGCUGGUCUGAGAGGAUGACCGGCCACACUGGAACUGGGACACGGUCCAGACUCCUACGGGGGGCAGGAGUGGGGAAUAUUGCACGAUGGGCGCAAACCUGAUGCAGCCAUGCCGCGUAUGUGAAGAAGGCCUUCGGGUUGUAAAGCACUUUCAGCGAGGGGGCGUUGCUCGCAGAGGAAGCACCGGCUAACUCCGUGCCAGCAGCCGCGGUAAUAC